ACAUGCCUACAACAUAGCGUUAAUGCACCAGAUCCCAUUAGAAUUUUGUAGUUAAGCACGCUCAGGCUAGAGUAGUACUGGGAUGGGUGAUUGCCCGAGAAGUCUUAGUGUUUUACAUGCC
rnacentral:rRNA from 1 species